GCCAGCAUGGCAUAGUGGUUUGAACAUUGGACUAUCACUCUGGAGACCAGGGUUCAAAUCCUGGCUCAGCCA
rnacentral:tRNA from 1 species